rnacentral:rRNA from 1 species
UACGUAGGGACCGAGCGUUGUCCGGAAUCAUUGGGCGUAAAGAGCGUGUAGGUGGUGGGACAAGUCUGCUGUGAAAGCGCCUGGCUUAACCGGGCGAGGUCGGCGGAAACUGUCGCACUCGAGGACGGUAGAGGGGGGUGGAAUUCCCGGUGUAGUGGUGAAAUGCGUAGAGAUCGGGAGGAACACCUGUGGCGAAGGCGGCCCCCUGGGCCGGCCCUGACACUGAGACGCGAAGGCGUGGGGAGCGAACGGG